AACGAACGCUGGCGGCAUGCCUAACACAUGCAAGUCGAACGAGACCUUCGGGUCUAGUGGCGCACGGGUGCGUAACGCGUGGGAACCUGCCCUUAGGUUCGGAAUAACUCCCCGAAAGGGGUGCUAAUACCGGAUAAUGUCUUCGGACCAAAGAUUUAUCGCCUUUGGAUGGGCCCGCGUUGGAUUAGCUAGUUGGUAGGGUAAAAGCCUAUCAAGGGGACGAUCCUUAGCUGGUCUGAGAGGAUGAUCAGCCACACUGGGACUGAGACACGGCCCAGACUACUACGGGAUGCAGCAGUGGGUAAUAUUGCAAAAUCGGCGAAAUCCUGAUCCAGCAAUGCCGCUUGAGUGAUGAAGUCCUUAGAGUUGUAAAGCUCUUUUACCCGCGAUUAUAAUGACAGUACCGAAAGAAUAAGCACCGGCUAACUCCGUG
rnacentral:rRNA from 1 species